GUUGUAAGGGAAGAAUAACUGAAUUCAGAGAAAGUUUUCAGCUUGACGGUACCUUACCAGAAAGGGAUGGCUAAAUACGUGCCAGCAGCCGCGGUAAUACGUAUGUCCCGAGCGUUAUCCGGAUUUAUUGGGCGUAAAGCGAGCGCAGACGGUUUAUUAAGUCUGAUGUGAAAUCCCGAGGCCCAACCUCGGAACUGCAUUGGAAACUGAUUUACUUGAGUGCGAUAGAGGCAAGUGGAACUCCAUGUGUAGCGGUGAAAUGCGUAGAUAUGUGGAAGAACACCAGUGGCGAAAGCGGCUUGCUAGAUCGUAACUGACGUUGAGGCUCGAAAGUAUGGGUAGCAAACGGGAUUAGAUACCCCGGUAGUCCAUACCGUAAACGAUGGGUGCUAGUUGUUAAGAGGUUUCCGCCUCCUAGUGACGUAGCAAACGCAUUAAGCACCCCGCCUGAGGAGUACGGCCGCAAGGCUAAAACUUAAAGGAAUUGACGGGGACCCGCACAAGCGGUGGAGCAUGUGGUUUAAUUCGAAGAUACGCGAAAAACCUUACCAGGUCUUGACAUACCAAUGAUCGCUUUUGUAAUGAAAGCUUUUCUUCGGAACAUUGGAUACAGGUGGUGCAUGGUCGUCGUCAGCUCGUGUCGUGAGAUGUUGGGUUAAGUCCCGCAACGAGCGCAACCCUUGUUAUUAGUUGCCAGCAUUUAGUUGGGCACUCUAAUGAGACUGCCGGUGAUAAACCGGAGGAAGGUGGGGACGACGUCAGAUCAUCAUGCCCCUUAUGACCUGGGCAACACACGUGCUACAAUGGGAAGUACAACGAGUCGCAAACCGGCGACGGUAAGCUAAUCUCUUAAAACUUCUCUCAGUUCGGACUGGAGUCUGCAACUCGACUCCACGAAGGCGGAAUCGCUAGUAAUCGCGAAUCAGCAUGUCGCGGUGAAUACGUUCCCGGGUCUUGUACACACCGCCCGUCAAAUCAUGGG
rnacentral:rRNA from 1 species